UACGGAGGGAGCUAGCGUUGUUCGGAAUUACUGGGCGUAAAGAGUGCGUAGGCGGCUAAUUAAGUUGGGAGUGAAAUCCCAGGGCUCAACCCUGGAAUUGCUUUCAAAACUGGUUAGCUAGAGGACGAUAGAGGAUGGUGGAAUUCCUAGUGUAGAGGUGAAAUUCUUAGAUAUUAGGAGGAACAUCGGAGGCGAAGGCGACCAUCUGGGUCGUAUCUGACGCUGAUGCACGAAAGCGUGGGGAGCAAAC
rnacentral:rRNA from 1 species